GCUUCCUCAUUGACUGGAAGGAAUCCCUUCUGGUCAAUUAGGUACAGCUACCUGAUUGACCAGAAGGGGUUUCUUCUGGUCAGGUGGGAGC
rnacentral:miRNA from 1 species